UGAAGUCAGAUAAAACGCUUCUCUUUGUGCUAGGAGUCAGAAGGCAAGUAAGGCUGCAAAGACUGCAUACGUUAGACAAGAAAAUGCUAUACAGGAGCGUGUUUCCUACACAGGGAAAGGAUAGCUGAAGAGCCAAUGGAAGAACUAAUUUAAGAUAUAUCUUGUUUGGUGCUUAUUGUUGGUAAUCUGACUGAAGAGCAGAAGGACUUUGAGUCUAAUAUGGACAAUCUCAAAAUAGGAAUGGAGUAAGAAAAGUAUACAAACCAAAGAGGGGGCAUCAGUGUUGUGACUGACUUCAGUAUUUCCUCUUUAUUUUUCUAAUGCCUUUUUUUUUUUUUUAAAUAUAUUUACACAUCCGGUUCAGCUCUUCUCCCAGUAGUAUUAAAGAAGAAAAUAGCAUACUCAUAGAUUUUCCAUCUGCAAACUGUAUCUUCCUCAAAACUAAGAGGUUGUGUGUUAUGCUUUGAGUUUCCAGCAUGAUGUUUUAUGAGUGCAAUAACAUUCUGAUUAACAUAAGACAAAAGAAACAAUGUCCUGUGAUAUCAGUCACAGUCUGAGGAGAGCAUGAGGAAUCCAUUUGGGCAUGACCGUUCCCCUGAACACUGGUGAUAGCGUUAGGCUGACAGCCACCUGUGGGCAUGUAGGCUGUGAGACAGACUCUAGUUUCUGGUGUCAGUGGUAGCUUUUGCAGGCUAUUUGAAUUUGCUGCAUGCUUGACAUGAGACCACUUGAUUGCUUGUUAGCAAGUCUUAGGCAGUUCCCCCAGUCUCUUCCUUUACAAAGCUUUGAAAGAAAGAACUUGGGCAGUAAAGGAUAUGACAACAUAGUGCUGAGUAUCAGAAACCAAGGAACUUUGGUCAAAUGAAUAGGUUUAAAGAAAGGAAGUCCCAGCCAAAGAAUGGUGAGCUCUUCUACUGCCGCUAUUGUGGCAGGAGGCUUUUUUCCUCAUAGGAAGAAAACUAAUUCAGCAUCUCUUGGUGAUUCAGGAUACUGUACACACAAAUUUGAAUGAAUGAGACAUAUCUAUGAUACUAAUUCAAAUAAGUGUCAGUGUUAAACAUGUUCCUUGAAUUGUUCAUAUAAAGCUACAAGUGAUGUUUAUUCAAAUGUAUAAAUAUUUUAACCUCUUAGAUUUCUCCUUGCCUUUAAGAUAGUAAGAGGAGCUAAUGCAAUUGAUCUUCAGGUCCAAGCACAGAAGUUACCAUUUUAUCCUGGACACUAUCCUGCCUCUGAGGCAACUGAGCUAGCUUCAGCAAGGUGAAUGACAGGGCCCACAAAGAAAAGAAAGUGUUAUCCAAAUGCAAGUCUGCACUUAAAAGUACAGGCAAGGUACUGUAGAUUCUAUUUGCUUGCAAGUAGUUGAUAUAGCUUGAGUAGAGGUGGUGGAAGCAAUUAGACUAGAGGAGAGACAUUAUCAUGCUAUCUGAUUCUUUAGCAUCCAGGAAGGAGCUUUCAGAGAUUGUUAUUGUUCAACAACUGUAUAGUGUUUGAGUUUAUUUAGUUCUAUUCACUUAAUGAGUGGAAUGAAAAAUAAAGUAGGUCCAGGACAUUUAUUUUUCUCUAGAAUACUGCACCAGAAGGAAAAAGAUCAAAUCAGUCUGAGUUAACAAAGUCAAAAACAGUCUGAAUGAAGAAAUAAUUGAAUGAUCAUAUUUGAUACCAGAGUAAUUUGUGGGAAAAUUGAUUUUGGAACCCGUGGUAGGUAAGAAAAAUGUAAUUGUUUGCAGCUGUCUCUGGUAGGUGUCCAGGAUAGAUCUCAUGCCAUGCAGUCUCUUUUCCUGAUUCCCCAGGAAAGAUUAAGGUAUUGCCUUAAAAUAAAUGAAAGAUAUGGGACAGAGAUAGAACUUCUAGUGUCAGCCACUAAAGAGGUAACAAUAGAUAACAAAGCAGCAGGAUUUUGGAAGUAAGCUACUGAGAACUGAUAAAUCCUCCUCCACUGGAGAGUGAUUAAUUGUAGAAUCAUGGCCUGCACUGUGUGGACUCUCAGAAGACUAGAGUUAAUAAAGUUGAAGUUGUAUCAAGUUACAAGUCUUUGCAUCUUGCUCAUCCUGAAGGGCGUGGAGUCCUCUGGUGCACAGGUACAGUAGUAAGCAUGAAGAUUAUAUGGGAAAACUCCUAAAUCAAACCUUUACUUCAGCCUACCUUUGAAUGUACUCACAGAUGGUACAUUAUAUAAAAAAAAAUAAUAAAACACCCUGCUGUCUGUUUUUCUUGUAUUUAAAUGCCUGUUACAUUUUGUCUCCCUGCGGGAUCUCUCCUAUUAAUUCAUAUCAAUUUCACUGUCUAUCCAAAUUGUUCUACUUCCUUAUGACUUUAUUCCUUUACCACCUUUCUGUUUGCUUCAUUAACCCUCCGUAAUUUCUCCAAAACCUUUUUAGAGACCUUCACCUUUGAAGCUCUUGAUCCACCUUGUUUCCAGUGUCUUGUUUUCCCUUGUGAUCCUUGUCUUUCCAUGCUCUAACAGAUACAGAUAUAAACUUGCUCAUCCUACACUGGUCUAUAGUUUCCUAAAGUUUUCCUUCCCAAUAAAGCUAUUUUUGUUUUGUUUUUCUUUCAAUUUCAGGUCUUACAGUAUCCCUGCUAUUGUGGUAUUUGGGAAUUCACCAAGUUGAGAGUCACAGUCAGAAACCAGUAACCAACUUCUGCGUUACUAAUUCAAAGGGAAUCUUAGAUGCUGUUCUGAAAUGCUGUGUAAGGAACACAUGUAACUUAAAUUCACACUCAAAUUUCUUUUCAGGCUCAGGAGUGCUGAAACUGUUUGUUCGGAGUCCAGGGUUUUGAAUUCAAGCUUGAAACAUGGGAUAUGGAAAGGAAGAAAAAAAAAAAAAGACACCUGAGUGGAGGAAAAGGACUGUGGGAUUAUGACACCCCAUUUCUUCUGCCAAAGAGAUGUUGCAACAUACCUUAGUGAUCCAUAGUCUCUCGCGGAAACCUCCACCGUGCAGCAUCUGGACUGCAGAGGUCGUAAGUCACAAGGUAUUUUCUCUUCAGCUUCCAGAACCAAGAUAGAAAUUAAUGAAAAAGGUACAGCACUAACACAAUCGAUAACAGCCAUAUUUCUUCAAAGGAAAUAAUUUUCUGUUUUUCAAGUUUCCCAAACAGCUUUUCUGCUGCACAACAGGGGAAUGUGCCAAACCCCUUGAAACUUAAUGGAAAAUGGCACUAUACUUCUAGUCAGCAUUUGGAAGAAUGUUCCAGUUUUGAGGCAGAAAUAUGGAAGAUUCACAGAUAUAAAGCCAUCUGAGCAUCUCCAGUUACUUAACUCCAGACUUACCUUCUUGUUGCUAACAUGAGGGUUCAACAGACAGCUCAAAACAGGCUCUCAACUUCUUUGAAAAGCUGUACUCUAUCAGGGCACAGCCCCUGGCCCUUCUCCAGCUUUUCCUCCUUCUCAGCUGUUCAUCUGUCAACACAGAGGGUGGAUAGCACUGCCUGAUAAACCAGUACUCAGACUGAUGGUGGGUGCAAACAAGAAACAAGUAACCAGAAGUUCUUGGCCUUCGAAACAACUCAUACAAAAGAAGGGAGCAUAUAACAUCUGGUAGGCCCACUGACAACUGAAGUCAAAUACUGUUGCCUGGUUAUGAAAUUAUGGUAAAAAAAAAAUCUCUGGCUUCUAAAUUUUACCUGUGAAGUAGGUAAGUAGCCUUGUUCUGUUUAUUCUGAAGGCUAUAAUAUAUGUGAGGGAAUAAGGUACUUGGAUACAUAUAGUGAAAAGAGUUUCCAAUUAUUUUAUUCAGGCAGAACUGUACUCCUGAGAUAUUACAAUUAAUAAAAAUAAAUCGAGUUUACUGUCCUUUCUCUGCAUGGGGAACAGGUUCUCUUCACUUUCAUACCUCCAUUUCUGUUUAGUCUGGUCAACAAAUCAUUUAAUUCAGAUCUUCACUGGGAGCAUCCUAUGCCCACAGGCAUAGUCCCUUCCUGCUCAGGAAGGUCCUUGGCUUACCUCUACAGCAGUGAACAUGAAUUAUACAGAAAAGGGUGUUGAUCUGACUUUGAUUUGGCAAAGUUUUUGUUGUCAUAAAGCUAGAUCACUAUUCUAUAUAUGAAGGAGUGGGUUUUUUUGUUUUUGUUUUUUGUAUCGUUGUAUGUCAUAUGCUGGGUUAUCAGAACACUGCUACAAUUUUUCCCCACCUUGCAGAACUUAAGUCCAUCCUCUAUUAAUAAUGGUAAUCUGAAAGAGAAAUUAUGCAGUUAAGUGCUUUUUCAUUAACUAAGUAAUCUUUAACUUCUUGUUGAAGAGAGGAAUAAGUUUACUUCCUCGGUGCAGGAAAAAAGGAGCUUUUGUAGAUUCAGAGCUAGUUUCGGAUGUCAUCUUGUGCAUGUACAACAUUUAAUGAUACUUCUUAGUCUAUUCAUACCUAUGCAGCUUCAGAACACAUGUGCAUAUACACCAGGCUUUUUAUAUGCUUAUAUAUAGUAUAGUGUAUACUAUAGUGUAUACACUAUAUACGCUUAGUAUACACCAGGCUUUUUAUAUGCUAACAAGUACUGUAUUUUGACUUUUCUUCAAUGUCUAAACUUUUGAAGGCAAAUGUUAGCCUAGCAAGAAAAAACAGAAAAGCCUUCACAGAAAAUCAUGCACCUUUGCUUGUGAAUAAGAUCAUGAAGGGAUUUAAAUCAUCCAGCCUACAUAGUCUAAACUCUAGAAUUGUUCUGAACCUGAGAAGUCCACAGAACAGUUUUUUGUAAUAAGAAAUAAAAACAACAACAACAAAAAACUGUUCUGUAAGUAUUGGUGUUUAUAGAGAAGAAAAAAAAAGGACAUGCUUAUCUGAAUGUUUUGCAGACUCAUCUCACAGAAGAUAGCUGAAAAAAUUAAAAAAAAUAAAAAAUAAAAAAAAAGAACUAUGUUAGGGUGAUAAUGCAUAGCAGGAAGAUAGGACUCCAGUGGGAGAUAAACAACUACAACAAAUGUGUGUAAAUGUGAAAUAACAAAGUCUGUUGUCUUAGAUGCACAGUAGAUGGCUUGAGAUUAUCUUAAUUUAAGACUGCCUAUGAAAUACAUGCAGCAUGCCAACCUGUGCAGGUUUAUUCCCUAUUCAAUAUUGUUGAUUCCAAAGAGAUAGUAUGUGGUGCAAUGCUGUGUCAUAUAUAGCUUAAAUACACUAUUUUUUCAAAAGGGUAAGUCAGUGCUGUUCAGGCAAUGUGUAUGUAAAUAUUUGUUAACAAUACUUAUGGAUAGUUGAAGUUUGAAGUGUCUUUUGUUAGUAACUUACUGUAAAAAAAUGUUAUGCAACAUGAGCUUGAAGUAGUACACCAAUCUUUUGUCUUCACUGUUGUGUCAACUACAUAUACAGUUUCCAUGUUUUGAUCUACUCUUAAUAGGGAAAAAAAAAAUAUAUAAAGGACCUCAGUUUGCUUAAUUUCAUGACAAUAGAGAUGUAAGCACCUACUGAACAUCUUUUUUCUAUACUGUUUUUAAUAGCAUUUUACUUGGUUUUAUGUACAAAUGAUCAUGUUGUGAAGAUUACUAUAAAUAAUAGCAAUUUUUACUAUAUAUAUAGUGAUAUAUAUACAAAUAUACAUAGGUAUAUAUAUAAAGGUAAUUAUAUAUAUAAAUAUAUUUAUAUAAUAUUAUAAAUAUAUAAAUUAUAAAUAUAUAUAUAUAUAUAAAGGUAAUUAUUACCUUUCUG